rnacentral:rRNA from 1 species
UUCGCCCUUUUACCGGUGCGGGCCGUGAGAGCGGGAGCCCGGAGAUGGGCACUGAGACAAGGACCUAGGCCCUACGGGGCGCAGCAGUCGCGAAAACUCCGCAAUGCGCGCAAGCGCGACGGGGCUACCCCGAGUGCCGUCCGCUGAGGAUGGCUUUUCUCUGGUGUAAUGAGCCGGAGGAAUAAGGGGAGGGCAAGACUGGUGUCAGCCGCCGCGGUAAUACCAGCUCCCCGAGUGGUGGGGAUGUUUAUUGGGCCUAAAGCGUUCGUAGCCUGCUCAGCAAGUCCUCCGUUAAAUCCGACGAUCUAAUCGUUGGGCCGCGGGGGAUACUGCAGGGCUAGGGGGCGGGAGAAGUCGACGGUACUCUUGGGGUAGGGGUGAAAUCCUAUAAUCCCAGGAGGACCACCAGUGGCGAAGGCGGUCGGCUAGAACGCGCCCGACGG